AGGGAAGGGCUCUAUACCGUUGCCAUGGAUACCAGCAGCCAGAAGGGGCGGGGCUGUUUGUUACCAGGAGCCUCCAGGGAGACCCCAGACCGGGCCCCUGGGUGAGUUCUGGGCCAGCCCAGCCUGGAGGAGGCAUGAGAGGCUGAGCCACUGCUCAGCUUAGCGGGGGGACCACUUAGUGGCCAACACCCUGAGGGAGUCCCCAGAAUCCCCUGCCUAGCCUGGCAGCCAGCGAGAUAAAUAUGGGGGCACUGCUGCCUGUGAGCCAGCCCAGCAUAGCCAUGGGUGUGUGGGGGAAGCAGACAGAGGCAGGGUCUUGCUCCGCUGUCCAGGCUGGAAUGCUUUAGUGUGAUGACAGCUCACGGUAACCUCGAAUUCCUGGGCUCAAGUGAUCCUCCCACUUCCGCCUCCUGAAUUGCUGAGACUACAGGCACCUGCCUCCACCGCCAGGCCCAGCCCACAGCUCCUUUGACUUUAGUGACAAGCACUCACCUACCUGACCCCCAAACUGAAGCCUCACCUUUCCCAGCCAUCUCCACACCCUCUGGGCCACCCCAUUACCAUGACAAGUAUUCCCUCUGCUCCAGAAGAAAAGCGAGGUCCCAGACCUGACCCACAAGACCCAAUCAUUCCA